GUAGCCACAUGAUCUAAGCACCUCAUAAGAACUGAGAAAAUUUUAGACUUGCACAUCGAAUCAACUUGCCAGGCAAAAUCCAAAUUGCCAAGGAGAAGCCUGCAAGAACUAUUUAAUUCACAUUUUCAAGGACAAAUUUCUCACUGGAUUUUCAAAUGCUGGCUUUGGUAUUAAGUUGUUGACAGGAAUAACACUACAAUAAAUAAUUCUGGUAUCAAUUUACUUGGAAAGAAAUUCUCUGCAAGACUGGAUCUGUGGCUCUUACCAGCCACCUUGUAAAUUGCUCACAGGAAGACUUUGAUGUACUUUUGUGGUGUUUGAAGAUAUAAGGUGGAAAACGGGCUAAUAUGCUUGUCCUGGCUUUAACUCCUAUCAGGAGCUGGAUUCAAUGCAGAGAAACAUCCCCUAGCACCAGAGAAUCUUUCUUUCCACUAGUAUCAAUGUGGUGUGAGUGUGAGGAGGGGGAGUAUAGGGGAGACACAGAAAGACUGAAUGAGAAAAUGGCAGAAACUUGUUUAUUUCACACCUAUGUGAUAUGUACCAAGAAAGUGGAUACAGCAGAGCUGUCAUUCCAGCAAGCAAGGAAUAGCUUACUGCAAGAAAGAGGCCAAGAGGAAGCGGUUCUGAUGCCAUCCAUAUUCUCCCCUGUGGACUUUAGCUUAUUGGCAGCCUCCUGACAAGCACUCUGUCCCCAAGGCUGAUCUGCCUGCCCUGGGCAGACAACACACUGGGAACCUUGAGGACAUGGUUCCUGCCCUCCCGGAAUGUUUCCUACUGCAGGGACAGUCAGAUGGGAGUGCCAUGAAAGAGAAAUGGGGAAUAUACUUAAGGGUCUCCAGAGGUGGGACCAAUUACUUCUGGCUGAGGAAAUAGGAACCAUCUAAUAUUCAGAGAAAAAAAAGAGGGUUAAAACUAAGUAGCGUCUGUAUGGAAGGACUGGCUUUCUGUCGUUUUGUUUAAUGACUGCUUUUCUCUGUUGAGAUUUGACUCAAAAUUGCCAAUCAUAUUUAUAUGAUGGAACUUAGCAUUUUGCAGAGCUAUACACUGGAGCACAUGGCAUCUUUCUACUGUUUUGGCAUUGCAUGAAUCCAUACAGUGACUAAGAGAAGAAAAACAUAGUCCAGAAGCCUCAUUUAUAUGUACCCAUCUUUAAAUAACAAAGCCUAUCUCUUAUAGCUGGAAGGAGUCUGGGAGCGUUGCACUGUGACCUCUUGCCAAGCAAGCAUCUUCCUUUGUGUUCAGCCUGCAACUGACUCUUUCUCUUCCAAAAUCCACUAUGGCUGAUGAAAACUGCUCAUACUGUCAGGGCGUAACAUAGAUUUGCAACUUCCCAGAGCAGAGAGAUGGAAGUCAAACAUGCCACCACACAAGGAGCAGCAUUUUGCAGAGCUGUACACUGGAGCACAGGGCAUCUUUCUACUGCCUUGGCAUUGCAUGAGUCCAUACAGUGACUAUGAGGGCCAGUGAAAACGUACAGGGGGAGUAAGAACUGGUCAAGUACCUGUUCUCAUCCAGCCAAAGGCUUCACCUGCUCAUUGGCAGAGACAGAUUGGAGUUAAGCCAAAUGCAUGAUAACAUUUGCUGCCUUUUUGAGAUAUAGGUAUAUGCUUAAGUAAAAUGUAUGAUAAACUAUAUAAAAUGCACUGGGUUCAUUUGUUAUUGUGUUUCUUGUAUCAGUUUUAUAAAGUUUCAAGUUAAGAAAGUUAAGAGUUGCCACCCUCUCCCCACAAUGCCCCAGGGUAUUAUUCUAUACACACACUUGAAAGGAGACUCCAAACCCACUGCUGGGCAUCAGGACCGUGUUGUUCAAAGUAGGCAGACCAUGUACAUAGCUUCCUUUAUAGCAUAGCCUUGGUCCACAGGAGACUCAUGCUUGAUUGCGUGGGCCCCUUGUUACAGAAACAGGUGAGAGCUGUAAUGCGACUGAUAACUAUAUAAGCUGCUUAUAGAGCUCGUCCUCUAGGGUUUCA
rnacentral:lncRNA from 1 species